AGGCCCGUGGGGAAAAUCAGCUGAAUACAGGCCGGAAUACGGGGCUUUAUGCAGAUGUAAUCGCCCACGGCCUGCUUACAUCCUGGAACCACAGGCCCGUUACAGCACGUACAUCCUGUCCUGAAUACAGCCCGUAAAUAACGGACCUGUUUCAGCCUGUACCACCCACGUCCUGCUUACAGCCUGUGCAGCUAGUGUAUGCGCAUGCGCAGAGAGAAAAUUGCUUAGAUACGAAAUCCACCAAGAGACUGAAAAGGUGCUUCAGUUUGAUCUUCUCCUUCAGUUGCAGCUUUAAAGGAUGGAUGGAGUAAUUAUAUUAUUUAUGGAGCUGACUGCCAAGCUGCUAGAUGUCUCUGCAAUUCUUCUCUCACUGUCUCUAGGAGUCCAGCUCUAUAGGCUACAAGAUCUGGUUGCCUCUGACGCAGGUUGUUGACUUCUACAAUGUUAUAAGAAUACACAUCUAAAAAGGAGGAUAUGCACCUCUACAACGACUACUAAAUAGAUGUACCUGUGUCUAUGUCAUCAUUACUGUACUGAUAGAGCUCGAGAUUGAGGUUCCUUGUCACACUACUUGAGAAUAUGUACAUAUAUAAAUUGGAAUGCUCAUGCCAUCAAUGAUUUCAACCCAUCAUGACCAGAAGCAUCUUGGACACACCUAUACUUUAGGAACUAUCAGAAUUUGGCAGUUAAGUUACUGGCUGUGGACAUGGCUGGUCUGUGACAGUACAAACAGUCAAACAAAAAAUUUAUAAUGUAACAGAGGACAUGGCUGGUCUGUGGACAGUACGAACAGUCGAACAACACUUGUAAGAAACAUUUUCUUUGCAACAAUAUUCACAUAUCUUCUUUAUACACACAGUGACAGAGGACAUGGCUGGUAGUACAAACAGUCGAGCAAACAAUUUAUAAUGUGACACACUCGAGCACCACAAGCACUAGAAGAAACAUUCUUAUUAGUAUUGUAAACUGUCUAACUGUCUGUCUAUGUUUGUUUCUUAAAAAUUUUAACACUUUGUUGAAUUAUUCAUGCCAAACUCA